ensembl:lncRNA
AUGACAUCAUUCAGAAGGACCUCCAUCCUCCAUCAAUGUCCACCCAUCAGUGGUUCAGUCAUUCACUCACUCAGAAAGUUAUUGAGUGCCAGAUCUGGAGGCGAUUUCUUCCUGGUUCUCAUUUCUGUGCUUUCCCCCCAGCAUUGCCUCAAAUGGAAUUCAAUACCAUCUAUGAGUAAAUAUGCCCAUUUAAAAAAACUACACACACACGCACUCAUUUUUAGUUUGAAAUAUUCUAAAUUAGAUUCCAAAGUAUCAUGAUUUUGUCACUAUAUUUAAGAAAAAAAUGUGUAUUUUGUUUAUGUAGGUUUUUAUUUUAAAAUACCCUUCUCAUUGAGUUGCUUUGUAAUACAAAGCGAUGUAUCUGAAGAACGACUGCCAGAAAGAUCAAACCUCACACACAGGUUGUUUUGAUACUGUCAUGUCGUGGUAUUCAUAUUUUUUGUUUAUAAAUGUUAAUUUUGCAUGAAGUAAACAGAUACAGUACAUCUAAAAAACAUAUUCUAUUUCAGAGUGAGUUAUUACAGUGAUUGGGCUAUAAACUGAAAUGUAAGCUGGUGAAAGCCUCCGUGAUGUUAAACCCCUCUUUAUUGUUACAAAUGCAGGCACGUUUGGAAUUCCAGUGCCAGGGAGGGUUCCCACUUCACACAGCCAAGCCCUUCAGAGGCGAAAUCUGCCAAAGCCCUUUUAACCACAUGCCUGUAGGAAUUUGUGCACUUAAUUAAAUGCACAUACCAAGUAGGUAAUCAGCAGAGUCCCGUUUAUUCACACACAUGUCCCCGAAUCACCAGAUGGCAUGCCUUAGAGACCUAUGCUCCCUGAUGGUGUGCUACAUCACACAGGACAUGCUAAACACAGGCAGGUAUUGCCUCUAAUAUUGUGUAUUUAAAAUAAACACAGAUAUAGUAUAAGAAAGAGGAUAAUCCUAUACAUAACAGUAAGCUGGAGAAAAAUGUCUUUAAGAUGUUUCAAUCAGUAAACAUUUAAGAAAGAUGUUGCAGAAGUCGACUGAGCAUCUGUUUUCAGAAGCCCUAUAAAUAUGUUAUGGAAUAAUUGAAUUAAUCAUACACUUUUUUUUUUUUUUUUUUGAGACAGAGUCUUGCUCUGUUGCUCAGGCUGGAGUGUAUAGCACGAUCCUGGCUCACUGCAGCCUCCAUGUCCUGAGUUAAAGUGAUUCUCAUACCUCAGCCUCCCAAGUAUCUGAGACUACAGGCAUGCACCACCAUGCCUGGCUAAUGUUUGUAUUUUUAGUAGAGAGGGGUUUCACCAGACUGGCCAAGCUGGUCUUGAACUCCUAACCUCAAGUGAUCCACCUGCCUUGGCCUCCCAAAGUAUUCCUGGGAUUACAGGUGCGAGCCACUGUACCUGGCCUGCCGUACAUUUUUAAAUCAUAAUGUUGCCUUUGAUGACAAGAUGAUGUGGCAGAUAUAGUAUUUGUGACAAAGCAGAAUACAUGAUAUUUGCUAACACUGCAGAAAUAUUUCCUAGUAGACUUUUCAGGUCAGAAACUUUUGCCAAGAUUAAAGUUUCUUCAUAAUAGAAUAGUGGAUUGUGCCAGAGAAGCUGCAGUGCAGCCUACCUUUUCAUUCACAAGUGGACAAAGUGAAAGCACACAGCAGGGUGCGGUGAUGAACACACUUUAAGUGGCAUCAACUCCUGGUGCUCAUGCCCUUGUAGAAUGAUCUCCCCAAGCAUGUGAUUUGCUUCUAAUCAAUAGAAUAUGGAAAAGGUAAUGCCAUCCCCUUGAUUACAUUAUGUUACAUAAAAUCUCAUCCUGCUGACUCUGUCUCUUUCCCUCUUAGUUGCUGGCUUUGAAGAAGCAAGCUGCCAUAAUCCCUACUGUUGCAAAAAAAUGAAUUCUGCCAAUGACCUGGGAGAGUCAUCUCUUGACACUGAUAUUUUCCUCCCACAAACAU